AGUGAACGCUGGCGGUAGGCCUAACACAUGCAAGUCGAACGGCAGCACAGUAAGAGCUUGCUCUUACGGGUGGCGAGUGGCGGACGGGUGAGGAAUACAUCGGAAUCUACUUUUUCGUGGGGGAUAACGUAGGGAAACUUACGCUAAUACCGCAUACGACCUACGGGUGAAAGCAGGGGAUCUUCGGACCUUGCGCGAUUGAAUGAGCCGAUGUCGGAUUAGCUAGUUGGCGGGGUAAGGGCCCACCAAGGCGACGAUCCGUAGCUGGUCUGAGAGGAUGAUCAGCCACACUGGAACUGAGACACGGUCCAGACUCCUACGGGAGGCAGCAGUGGGGAAUAUUGGACAAAGGGCGCAAGCCUGAUCCAGCCAUACCGCGUGGGUGAAGAAGGUCUUCGGGUUGUAAAGCCCUUUUGUUGGGAAAGAAAAGCAGCAGGUUAAUACCCCGCUGUUCUGACGGUACCCAAAGAAUAAGCACCGGCUAACUUCGUG
rnacentral:rRNA from 1 species